CAGUGGAGCUUAAUUCCCUUCCUUCUUGGCUCUAGUGACGCUCUUCUCAUGAACUGAAUGAAGCUUAAGUGAUAGCGUGUUUUAGGAAUAUUCUCCUUAAACAUAUUUACCUCUUACGCUCUCUGAAUCCAUUCUCCGUCAUACUGUGCCUGCCCACGUGGAGCCUGCAGACACUGCACCAGCUGCCCCCACAGUCAGCCUCUAGUGAAAGCCCAGUCUCCCGUACCUCCCACCGCCCCAACCUCCAACGACUCCGCCUGACACGGCAUCACCGCCACCUCUCAGCCUUCCAGUGUGCUUGCUGUCUUCCCUAUUCUGAGGAAAGACCUGUAAUUGAGAGGGCUUUUUGAUACAACAACAUUUCAAGAAGGAGCUUCUGCUACUUUUCACACUGAUCUUCUGACUGUCUUCGGUGCUGUGAUUUGGAUUUGGAUCAGGAUCGGGCCCUCUUCUGCUCAGCCUGGGACACCUGCACAAGGAUAGAAUGCCGGAGAUCCCCUGACAUCUCCCUCCUUGGAGUCUCAGUGACAGGACAGCUGAGUCAGUCAUUUGCUCAAUUGCUAGUAUUUAGGUAGUGAUUCACAACCAACAUGGGUGAAGAUGAUGGCCAAUCUCCCUGCUUUUGUAACUUUAAUCUUUGGUCAUGAUCAGAUUUGCAUCAUCUAGUUAAGGACUUGCAAACCCUCCUAAGGAAUGACAAAGGUCCACUGACGAAUUUAGGACUGUCCUAGGGAUAUAAAGUCUAGGACUCUCUGAUAAUUAUCAAUUGGCUCAUCUCCUUGUGAGACCCAGAAAUACUAAAACUUGGUUUGAAAAAGCAGAAAGGAUUGACAAUCAGACUGAUAUAAUACACAUGGGUCAAAAUUAGACUACAGAUUGACAUAAAAAGAGUAUAAUAACAGGGUAAGACUUCACAAAUGCCUUGUAUACUUUCUUUUCUGAUGGUCUUACAUCUGAGAUGGCAGAUUAUUCAGAAAACAGAUAGGAUGGCAGACUGUCUCUUUCUGAAUCACAAGAGUUUAUGGCAUUCCUUGAAGAUAUCUUGACUUAAAAAAGAGAAAAAUUUAUAGACUGAAUUAAUAGCUCUUUCAAUUAAACAAUUAGAAAAACCCAAGGACAGGGACACCCCUGUGUCUAGUCUAGAUAAAGAUACUUGUUGUUAUUAUAAGGACACUGGAAGAACAAUUGCCCUACCUUGGAGCAAAAGAUAGUAUCUAAAAAGAAAAAACACAAACUGUCUGACAGACUAACACCCCUCAGAGUAAGCAGCUGCUCUGAUCUCCAAAAAUUGCCCUUAACAAAAAACAGAAUGAUUUUCAUACAAUUGCAAAACUAGAAUGUUCCAUUUCUUGUUGAUAUUGAGACUAUACUCGCUGUUAUAAACUUGAUCACUUUUUCAUCACUUCUUUCUCUGAGUAAGAAAAAUGUUUUACAGGUUUCUUGUCUAUCAAUUAUACCUCAAUAAAGC
rnacentral:lncRNA from 1 species